GGGGGGGGGGUCGCUCUACAACGUGCAGGAGGGGCUGCGCUGUAAUGAUGGUGACGCCGACACCGGCGAGUAUUCAACAUUCUUUGAGAGGACCUUUGUAUGGCCGCUUGAGAACGUGGGGAAAAGGUGCCGACCGCUCCACCUCAGCAAGGUGAUGUUCUCAACAAACGAGUUCGUUAAACGUAGUGCUGGAAGCCUGAGUCCGCAAUAUGACGUUAGUGCAAGUUUACCAGCACUUUCCUGGGAGAAGCAGAAGGACAUGAACUCUGCUGUAACCAUCUUGAACGAGAACUUGGUGCUUCCAAGGAGGCACACAGGCAGCUGGUGUGGCGAAAUGGUGAACUGCAAAGGACAUUGGAGGCAGUUGGGAGAGAGGCACAGCAAAGCAAGAGCUUUGCAAGGAUGAAUGCUGACAAGAAGCACAUGAUGGCCAUCGUGGAACUGAAGAUCGUAAAAAAAGGACUUCUUGGUCAUGGAUCACAUGAAUGUCCUGGAGAGUGGCCAGCCCUCACCGAGGUGAUGUUCUCAGCUAGGGGGGAAGCUUAGACAUUGUGGUCUUCUUGGUCAUGGAGCACAUAAUGUCCUGGAGAGUGACCAACCCUCACCGAGGUGAUGUUCUCAGCUAGGGGGGAAGGUUAGACAUUGUGGACCUUUGUGGGACCGCUCUACAACGUGCAGCGCGCCUCUGCAACCAGCGCGACUCUGCAAUAACCGUGACGGUGAUACCGGUGGGCAGUCGACAUACUCGGAAAGGACCUUUGUGGGACCGCUCUACAACGUGCAGCGUGCCUCUGCAACCAGCGCGACUCUGCAAUAACCGUGACGGUGAUACCGGUGGGCAGUCGACAUACUCGGAAAGGACCUUUGUGGGACCGCUCUACAACGUGCAACGAGCCUCAGCAAGCAGCGCGACUCUGCAAUAACCGUGACGGUGAUACCGGUGGGCAGUCGACAUACUCGGAAAGGACGUUUGUGGGACCGCUCUACAACGUGCAGCGAGCCUCUGCAACCCGCGCGACUCUGCAAUAACCGUGACGGUGAUACCGGUGGGCAGUCGACAUACUCGGAAAGGAUGACUGGUGGGUCACUCUACAACGUGCGCAAAGCUGGAAAGCAGCGCCGACGUCGCUCGCACGAGUCCACCUUAUGACGUUUUUCUAGGAGUGCGAAGGGAUGUUCUCCUCCCUGCUCCGCUUCCAAAUGAAGGAUAAUUGUGGGCCGCUUGACAACGUGCGCAAGUGUGGGCGGUGAUGGCGCAGACAACAGUGGACAGUCGACGUACCUGAAAAG